ensembl:lncRNA
AUGAUGCUGAUCAAUGCUGGAUUGGUCUAUUUCUACAUCACAGCUCUGGAAAAUGAAAAGGAUCGUGUCGGAUGGACCUGUGUGAUUGUGUUUUUCCAGUCUCUCUGGGCACUGGUCAACUUCGCAUGCUCAUUUAAUGAUUACGAUCUUCCUCGUGUUGUAGCUGUGUAUGUGUUUGGAUCAGUCGGUGUUGUGUUACUGAACUCUGUUGCUCUGAUGACUGAACUGAUCCUCAAAACAGGUGAUCAUCACACACUACACAAUUACUGUCAUAUAUCUGCAUAUUAAUGUUUAUUAUAAAGGAUGGCUCGUGUCCACUCUGGGCUCAGUCACUGUCUGCAGUCAGCAAAAAAAUCACAUCAUGUGUGGUGUCUAAAGAUUAUAAUCUUAGAAUUCAAAAAACAGUUGGUUUCACAAGUUUUUUUUUUUUUUAAACAUGUGUAAUAUUUGUGACUGUCUCCAGUGAUUGUAUAUGAGACUAUGAAGAUGCGUUCACUGUCAAACAACAUUUAAGGUUCAUUUUCUCAAGUAUUUUUCUUGAUUACACAUCUUAUUGCAGGGAUGUGAUUUUCAUAUUUCGGAUUUCCAUAUUUUCUGACCUUUGAGGGACGACCCAUGUGAUUUGCGUAGAUCUGAGCUUGUUUUUGUUUUGUUUUUUUUGGGGGGGGUAGGUUGGUUUCUGCAUGAUGAUAGAAAUCGCGCAAAUGGCCUUAAGCUAUUACCUAAAUUAACUACGAAAAUAAACAUCAUGUACGGAAUGGUCCUGAGAGCGCU